rnacentral:rRNA from 1 species
GGUUAAGCGACUAAGCGUACACGGUGGAUGCCCUGGCAGUCAGAGGCGAUGAAGGGCGUGCUAAUCUGCGAUAAGCGCCGGUAAGGUGAUAUGAACCGUUAUAACCGGCGAUACCCGAAUGGGGAAACCCAGUGUGUUUCGACACACUAUCAUUAACUGAAUCCAUAGGUUAAUGAGGCGAACCGGGGGAACUGAAACAUCUAAGUACCCCGAGGAAAAGAAAUCAACCGAGAUUCCCCCAGUAGCGGCGAGCGAACGGGGAGGAGCCCAGAGCCUGAAUCAGCAUGUGUGUUAGUGGAAGCGUCUGGAAAGGCGCGCGAUACAGGGUGACAGCCCCGUACACAAAAGCGCAUGUGCUGUGAGCUCGAUGAGUAGGGCGGGACACGUGGUAUCCUGUCUGAAUAUGGGGGGACCAUCCUCCAAGGCUAAAUACUCCUGACUGACCGAUAGUGAACCAGUACCGUGAGGGAAAGGCGAAAAGAACCCCGGCGAGGGGAGUGAAAAAGAACCUGAAACCGUGUACGUACAAGCAGUGGGAGCACCCUUUGGGGUGUGACUGCGUACCUUUUGUAUAAUGGGUCAGCGACUUAUAUUUUGUAGCAAGGUUAACCGUAUAGGGGAGCCGUAGGGAAACCGAGUCUUAACCGGGCGUUAAGUUGCAGGGUAUAGACCCGAAACCCGGUGAUCUAGCCAUGGGCAGGUUGAAGGUUGGGUAACACUAACUGGAGGACCGAACCGACUAAUGUUGAAAAAUUAGCGGAUGACCUGUGGCUGGGGGUGAAAGGCCAAUCAAACCGGGAGAUAGCUGGUUCUCCCCGAAAGCUAUUUAGGUAGCGCCUCGUGAAUUCAUCUCCGGGGGUAGAGCACUGUUUCGGCUAGGGGGCCAUCCCGGCUUACCAACCCGAUGCAAACUGCGAAUACCGGAGAAUGUUAUCACGGGAGACACACGGCGGGUGCUAACGUCCGUCGUGAAGAGGGAAACAACCCAGACCGCCAGCUAAGGUCCCAAAGUCAUGGUUAAGUGGGAAACGAUGUGGGAAGGCCCAGACAGCCAGGAUGUUGGCUUAGAAGCAGCCAUCAUUUAAAGAAAGCGUAAUAGCUCACUGGUCGAGUCGGCCUGCGCGGAAGAUGUAACGGGGCUAAACCAUGCACCGAAGCUGCGGCAGCGACACUGAUGUGUUGUUGGGUAGGGGAGCGUUCUGUAAGCCUGUGAAGGUGGCCUGUGAGGGUUGCUGGAGGUAUCAGAAGUGCGAAUGCUGACAUAAGUAACGAUAAAGCGGGUGAAAAGCCCGCUCGCCGGAAGACCAAGGGUUCCUGUCCAACGUUAAUCGGGGCAGGGUGAGUCGACCCCUAAGGCGAGGCCGAAAGGCGUAGUCGAUGGGAAACGGGUUAAUAUUCCCGUACUUGGUGUUACUGCGAAGGGGGGACGGAGAAGGCUAUGUUGGCCGGGCGACGGUUGUCCCGGUUUAAGCGUGUAGGUGUGUGUUCCAGGUAAAUCCGGUUCACUUUAACACUGAGGCGUGAUGACGAGGCACUACGGUGCUGAAGCAACAAAUGCCCUGCUUCCAGGAAAAGCCUCUAAGCAUCAGGUAACAUCAAAUCGUACCCCAAACCGACACAGGUGGUCAGGUAGAGAAUACCAAGGCGCUUGAGAGAACUCGGGUGAAGGAACUAGGCAAAAUGGUGCCGUAACUUCGGGAGAAGGCACGCUGACACGUAGGUGAAGUGAUUUACUCAUGGAGCUGAAGUCAGUCGAAGAUACCAGCUGGCUGCAACUGUUUAUUAAAAACACAGCACUGUGCAAACACGAAAGUGGACGUAUACGGUGUGACGCCUGCCCGGUGCCGGAAGGUUAAUUGAUGGGGUCAGCGCAAGCGAAGCUCCUGAUCGAAGCCCCGGUAAACGGCGGCCGUAACUAUAACGGUCCUAAGGUAGCGAAAUUCCUUGUCGGGUAAGUUCCGACCUGCACGAAUGGCGUAAUGAUGGCCAGGCUGUCUCCACCCGAGACUCAGUGAAAUUGAACUCGCUGUGAAGAUGCAGUGUACCCGCGGCAAGACGGAAAGACCCCGUGAACCUUUACUAUAGCUUGACACUGAACAUUGAGCCUUGAUGUGUAGGAUAGGUGGGAGGCUUUGAAGUGUGGACGCCAGUCUGCAUGGAGCCGGCCUUGAAAUACCACCCUUUAAUGUUUGAUGUUCUAACGUGGACCCGUGAUCCGGGUUGCGGACAGUGUCUGGUGGGUAGUUUGACUGGGGCGGUCUCCUCCUAAAGAGUAACGGAGGAGCACGAAGGUUGGCUAAUCCUGGUCGGACAUCAGGAGGUUAGUGCAAUGGCAUAAGCCAGCUUGACUGCGAGCGUGACGGCGCGAGCAGGUGCGAAAGCAGGUCAUAGUGAUCCGGUGGUUCUGAAUGGAAGGGCCAUCGCUCAACGGAUAAAAGGUACUCCGGGGAUAACAGGCUGAUACCGCCCAAGAGUUCAUAUCGACGGCGGUGUUUGGCACCUCGAUGUCGGCUCAUCACAUCCUGGGGCUGAAGUAGGUCCCAAGGGUAUGGCUGUUCGCCAUUUAAAGUGGUACGCGAGCUGGGUUUAGAACGUCGUGAGACAGUUCGGUCCCUAUCUGCCGUGGGCGCUGGAGAACUGAGGGGGGCUGCUCCUAGUACGAGAGGACCGGAGUGGACGCAUCACUGGUGUUCGGGUUGUCAUGCCAAUGGCACUGCCCGGUAGCUAAAUGCGGAAGAGAUAAGUGCUGAAAGCAUCUAAGCACGAAACUUGCCCCGAGAUGAGUUCUCCCUGAGACUUAGAGUCUCCUGAAGGAACGUUGAAGACGACGACGUUGAUAGGCCGGGUGUGUAAGCGCAGCGAUGCGUUGAGCUAACCGGUACUAAUGAACCGUGAGGCUUAACCUU